CAAAGAGAAAAUCACAAUGAGCAGAGGUCAGACAGGUUGGACUAGACCGGAGACACGAUAAGAGCGAUAACAGAGAAGAAGAAAUUAAAUCAGAGACAAAGAAAAUAACCCUAUUGGACAGUGUGGAGACAGAAGACAAGAGCAGCGGGGAGAGAGAGGAGUCGAGCACUAGUGAUGAGAGAGGAGAAAGAAAGUGCUCUUGAGGAUGUGGCACUUGUCGGGCUUAACGCUGAGACUGGCAAUGUCGCCCAUGUUGGAUGACAGCAGCUCCGCCAGCUCCUCGAUGUAGCGGCACUCCAGCUCCCGUCUCCGUUUCUCCGCACUGCAGAAACAGACCCGACGAAGACUCAAAGUGAAGUUCACAUUAAAACAGCUGUUUUUAAAUCAGUAGUACUUUUCUGGGUUAUUUUUCAGUACUUAUCUGGUUUUAAAAACAUCAGAAAACUGAUUUUCUUGCACUAAUGAAACUAUAUUUGUUUUGAUUUGACAUUUAAAACCAUGAACGCUGUGACAUUUACUUUAAAGUGAGAAAGAAAAGCAGCAAAACCUGACAUCCUUGAAUCCGACAUGUUAAAAAUUAAUCAAUUAAUUGUUUCUGCUCUGCAAAAGUUACAUUUAAAUGACCCACUGUACUUAAAGUACAUCGUCCUGAACUAAUCAAUAUGUCCAAGUAUAUAAGUAAAACUUUAGAACACUUUAGUAAUAACACAUUACUAUAUUUAGUAAUGUAAUCAAUAAAGAUAACUUUGUGUCAGUCAUAGUAUUACUGGCCUAACUUUCUGUUGAUGUCAGUGAUCAACAUUUAUCUGUGGCCUCAUUAUGAAUUUAAAUGUUUGCAGAUGAUGUCAUGAAGAGCUUUAAAAAAAUUUAAGACGAUGUGAUAAUUAUUAUCAUCAUUAUCUCUUUUUAAAAUGACUUCUUUUAAUGUGUACAUGGCAGCAAAAAGUAUUGGCAAUUUUUUUUAAGAUUAUGACAAUACAAGAAAAAAAAUAAAUUACUGAUGGAUUAAUGGUCACACAUGAGAACACACACAUUGUUUAAACAAAAUCACCCAAGAAGUACAAGCAAUUAUCAGCACCCCUCCAGGAGCAGAAGCAGCAGAGAAAACUAUAAUCGUCCCUGUAGGCAAAAUAUGCAGUUAUUACACAAUAAUGAGUGAUUCCAACCAUUGGUUGUGACUGACAGCAACAGAGACAAAGAAACAAAUAGAAAGCUGGUUGGAACCAGCACGAUGUGCUCAGACACAUGACACAGGAGAUCCAGCAGAGUUACAUAGAUUGCAAUGAA